rnacentral:lncRNA from 1 species
AUUAACUUUUAACCUGCUGAUAUAAAAUUUUUAGCUGCUUGUAAUUGCAUGGUCCAUAGAUAUUUUACUUAAUAUGAAAUCACUUAAUUCGAACUUGUACUUCGGGUACAGAUCAGAUUUAAGGAACACAUAAAGUAAAGAACACAAAAGUUACAGAUAAUGAUCUCUUAGCGCUUAAAAACUUUGUACAAUAAAAAAUACAUCGUUUUCUAUCUGAAAGUGACUGGUGAAAAUGACUUAUGGACGGCUGUUCGAUAUAUUGUUCGGAAGGCAUCGUCUGUUUCGUUCAAAUAUAGAAUGAAAUUCAAAACAGUGCGGCUGUGGCCAUUGAUUGACACAUUAAAUUCAUCCAUUGACUGGGACAAUUUACGUAAACGUUUGUCUGUAACGACCACUGUUCACGACGUACCUACGAUAGACAUUUAAACUGUGGGGUCACCAAAGGUUUCUUAACGCCUUUAAUUAUAAAAUAAUUCGAAAAAAUAAUCAGGAAUAGCCUUUAUGUUUUGAUUUAUAUAAUUG